GGCAGUGUGGCCUAGCGGAAAGAGCGUGGGGCCGGGAGUGAGGAGACGCGGGUUCUAAUCCCGCUUCUGCCG
rnacentral:tRNA from 1 species